GAUGAACGCUGGCGGCGUGCCUAAUACAUGCAAGUCGAGCGAAGCGGGGACGGGUGAGUAACACGUGGAUACCCUCCUUUAAGACUGGGAUAACUUCGGGAAACCGGUGCUAAACCGGCUACUUAUAGAUGGCUCCUCGCUGCAUUAGCUAGUUGGUAAGGUAACGGCGUACCAAGGCAACGAUGCAUAGCCGACCUGAGAGGGUGAUCGGCCACACUGGAACUGAGACACGGUCCAGACUCCUACGGGAGGCAGCAGUAGGGAAUCUUCCGCAAUGGGCGAAAGCCUGACGGAGCAACGCCGCGUGAGUGAAGAAGGUCUUCGGAUCGUAAAACUCUGUUAUUAGGGAAGCGGUACCUAACCAGAAAGCCACGGCUAACUACGUGCCAGCAGCCGCGGUAAUAC
rnacentral:rRNA from 1 species